rnacentral:misc_RNA from 1 species
GAAAUGCGAUAAGUAAUGUGAAUUGCAGAAUUCAGUGAAUCAUCGAAUCUUUGAACGCACCUUGCGCUCCUUGGUAUUCCUUGGAGCAUGCCUGUUUGAGUAUCAUGAAAUCUUCAAAGUAAAUCUUUUGUUAACUCAAUUGGUUUCUACUUUGGUAUUGGAGGUCUUUGCAGCUUCACACCUGCUCCUCUUUGUUCAUUAGCUGGAUCUCAGUGUUAUGCUUGGUUCCACUCGGCGUGAUAAGUUAUCAAUCGCUGAGGACACUGUAAAAGGUGGCCAAGGUAAAUGCAGAUGAACCGCUUCUAAUAGUCCAUUGACUUGGACAAUACUUUUAUGAUCUGAUCUCAAAUCAGGUAGGACUACCUGCUGAACUUAAGC